GUGCCCUACGGGAGGCAGCAGUGGGGAAUAUUGCACAAUGGGCGAAAGCCUGAUGCAGCAACGCCGCGUGAAGGAAGAAGGGUUUCGGCUCGUAAACUUCUAUCAACAGGGACGAAAGAAAUGACGGUACCUGAAUAAGAAGCCCCGGCUAACUACGUGCCAGCAGCCGCGGUAAUAAGUAGGGGGCAAGCGUUAUCCGGAAUUACUGGGUGUAAAGGGGGAGUGGGCGGCAUGGGAAGGCAGAUGUGAAAGCCUUGGGCGUAACCCGGGGAUUGAAUUUGGAAAUAUCA
rnacentral:rRNA from 1 species